rnacentral:rRNA from 1 species
GUAACGAUGGCCACACUGUCUCCACCCGAGACUCAGUGAAAUUGAAAUCGCUGUUAAGAUGCAGUGUACCCGCGGCUAGACGGAAAGACCCCGUGAACCUUUACUACAGCUUCACACGGGACUUUGACGUUAUUUGUGUAGGAUAGCUGGGAGACUUUGAAGCGCGCUCGCUAGGGUGCGUGGAGUCGUCCUUGAAAUACCAGCCUGGUAACGUUGGGGUUCUAACCCAGGUCCAUUAUCUGGAUCGGGGACAGUGUGUGGUGGGUAGUUUGACUGGG